UAGAGCAAUAUGAUGUGUUCAGUAAUAUUUACCCGGCGUGUUCUUUUUAAAUAGUACGAACAUGAACCUGGUCCAAACUUAUCUUAAAACGCCUAAUUAAAACAGAUCGAAAGAGCAAAAUCUUACUGGUCAUUUGUUUCCCAGUGAUACACAAUAUAAGAUAACAUCGAAUUGUUCAUGGUAGAAGAAUAUAGGUAGAUGCAUUAACGCAUAGGAACAUUGAUAUGUCAACAUUUUAAAAAUGUUUUGUCAAAAAUAAGUAGUUUGUAUAUGUUUUCUUAUAUGGCGCAAAUCGGAGGUUGACAUAAUAUGUAUUUUUCAACAAUUUUUACAAACUUCAAUAAUUUUUCAUUCAACAUUUUCAAUUUCAAAAUCAGUUUGACAGCUCUUUGUCCCAGCAGCUGUGUCGAUGCGAUUACCUUUAUUCUUCUACCAUGGAAUUGUUUCAAAAUAUUUAGUGUUCAGACAGGGUUAUACUUUACUAUUUUUGUAAGUUUAUACUAAGUUUAUACUUUAGCAAAGCAAUUGCCAAUUUUUUCGUCACCUGUCAGAUAUUUUCUUCGGCGAUCUGGAGAGACCUACUUUCUUCGAGUGCAAAUCAGAAAGAAAUUCAACUUUUCACUCGUCAUUCCCAACAACAAAUCUUCGAGUGGAAAGGAGAAAGAAAUAAAACUAUGUCUUAUUCUUUGUUAAUUCCACCCCUUUUCGAUCUAUUGUUUUGAUUUUCAUCUUCAUUACACAUUCCGCUUUGCCCUCAUUUUCUCUUCGUAUCGUUUUCGAUUUAUUUCUUUUAAGAGGGAGAACAGACAAAAUUGCCUGGAAUAAACAAACGAGACAAGACGCUACGAAAAUGUCUACUCCCAGAAAAAAUAAAAAUUAUAAUUGCUACACAUCGCCCUAUUCAAAGCCCAUUCAACAGUAUGCAUCCCAAAACGACGAAUACAUAUCAUUGGAAAUGGGAGGGCGAUGUCAAGAAGGUAGAGAUGUCACAAACAGUGGAAUUUAUGGAAAGAAACCUAACCAACGACGAGCGAAUUACUCAAGUGGGUACUACCAGAACAACAAUUUAAAGAGUGGGAGUGGGCAAAAGUCGUGGUUCACCCCAAGAAAAAAUGCAGAAAUUGGUAACUCCCAGAGCCACACUUCGUCCAUUUCUUUAUACCUACAUCCAUCAAUGACGGAAGACCCUUGGUCAGAUUUAUUGGCACGCCUAGAAUGUCUUAAUAAAAGUGAAAUUACCUUAAAAUCUCAGACGAAAGUGGAGGACACAGUUGAUGAAGGAGAUAAAGAUGAGCUGAUCGUUCAAUAGCAAUAAAUAUGGGGAGGAACAAUAUCUUAGGAUGUAUAUCCUAACAAGACCCUUAUAUUAAGUUACAUAUUUUUAGAAAUACAACUAGAUAUUAUGAAUAUAAGCACAUUAUUGUGUUAACUAUAUAAAAAUUCUAUUUUUAGUAAUUUGAACAAGAGCAACACAUGAAAAAUAUUGUCACCAAUGAAUGAAAAAGAAAAAAAAUAGAAAAUUGCCUUAUUAUAUUUUGCAGGUUCAGUAAGGCCGAUGGCCUAUUCUAUCUAAUUUAAAAGAUUUGCAGUUCUUCGCAUAUGGAAGUAGUGGAAAGUAGUAGGCAAUAAAAAAAGAUGAUCAUAGAUGUACUCUGGGCCAGUUUACGCCUUUUGGAAAUACAAUCAAAUCAAACUGCAACACAUGAUUGUAAAAUAUUGUAAACUUUUCAUUUAAUCAUCAAUGAAUGAAAAAGAAGAAAUAUAUAAAAUUGCAUUGCUAUGUUCCACAGCUUUAGAACGGUCGAUGCUCUAUUUUAUCUAAUUGCAAAGAGUUCCAGUUCUUCACAUAUGGAAGUAGUGGAAACAGUUGGCAAUAAAAAUAAAGAUGAUCAUAGAAGUACUCUGGGCAAGUUUACGCCUUUUAAAAAUACAAUCCAAUGUUAUAAAUGGGAGUCUAUCAUUUUGUUGACACAAAAUUCUAUAUUAAACAAUUUGAAUAAAUGCAACAUCACAACUUAUGUAUGAAAUGACGAAUUAUUAAAUGA